CCUGACUGCUAUCGGAUUGAUACUAAGCCAUGCGAGUCUUUGUAGUAAUACAAGGCAGACGGCUCAGUAACACGUAGUCAAUCUACCCUAUGGACGGGGAUAACCUCGGGAAACUGAGAAUAAUACCCGAUAGAUCAUAAUGCCUGGAAUGGUUUAUGGUUCAAAUGAUUUUUCGCCGUAGGAUGGGACUGCGGUCUAUCAGCUUGUUGGUGAGGUAACGGCCCACCAAGGCUAUAACAGAUACGGGCUCUGAGAGGAGAAGCCCGGAGAUGGGUACUGAGACACGGACCCAGGUCCUAUGGGGCGCAGCAGGCGAGAAAACUUUGCAAUGUGCGAAAGCACGACAAGGUUAAUCCGAGUGUUUUCUGCUAAAGAAAUCUUUUGUUAGUUCUAAAGCCACUAUCGAAUAAGGGGUGGGCAAGUUCUGGUGUCAGCCGCCGCGGUAAAACCAGCACCUCAAGUGGUCAGGAUGAUUAUUGGGCCUAAAGCAUCCGUAGCCGGCUAUGUUAGUUUUCGGUUAAAUCCAUGUGCUCAACACAUGGGCUGUCGGAAAUACUGCAUAGCUAGGGAGUGGGAGAGGUAGACGGUACUCGGGAGGAAGUGGUAAAAUGCUUUGAUCUCUCGAUGACCACCAGUGGCGAAGGCGGUCUACCAGAACACGUCCGACGGUGAGGGAUGAAAGCUGGGGGAGCAAACCGGAUUAGAUACCCGGGUAGUCCCAGCUGUAAACUAUGCAAACUCAGUGAUGCAUUGGCCUGUGGCCAGUGCAGUGCCGCAGAGAAGUCGUUAAGUUUGCCGCUUGGGAAGUACGUACGCAAGUAUGAAACUUAAAGGAAUUGGCGGGGGAGCACCACAAGGGGUGAAGCCUGCGGUUC
rnacentral:rRNA from 1 species